AUUCUAAGGACUCAGGUCUGCACAGGAGAAGGACCUCACAGAGAAGAUAAGUGUUAUCUGAAGGGGAGGAUGAGAAGCUCUGGAGGAGGCGUGGCCAGCUAAUUAAGGAUCCUUAAGUACAGCUGCUUUAGUGCAGUUCAAGCUCCAUGCAUAUGAGUGAGGACAGCUGUGCAGCAGACUUUUGGAGGGAAACUGUGACCAUAUUACCAGAUGUCUGCCCCAACCGGGAGGAGCUGCUAUUGGAAAGUUAAGUAUCUAUAUUUAUCACUUAUGCCAUGGCAUUGUUGUAUAACACUCUAUCUUUAUUCUUCAUCCAGAAGGUGUUCAUUAUCUACCUUGUCUGUUUUUUUUCCUUAGUGUUAUUGUGAUAACCAUUAUGGUCAGCCCCAUCUCUAGUACAGGCAGGUUAGAUAGUAGCUACCUAUGCAUGACUUGUUGCAUUGCUAACUUGGGGGAGUUAUCAAUGUGGCACCAUGUGUAGAUAGCCAUCAUAACUAGUUAACCCUCAGUUAUUUCUGUUAUUGUAAUGUUCUACUGAUGCUGAAUAGUAUAGUAGUCAGGGCCUCCUAAAUGAAGGUAGGAAUGCAUUAGGAAAGUCCUAGCUGUAAGUAUGGCUGAUAAAUCAACUGAGGAUUUGCAGCCACUAUCAUUGUUGUUUUUAACAUACUGCUUUUUUAUCUUUUGUGUGUGUCCGGCUCUUCAUUGUUUUUCAAGUUGCUUCAUUUUCUAACGGCUUUUGUCUUUCUCACAAGUAUCUAGGUAGGUUUUUUUUUUUUAGAAUUCUUUUCCUAUAGAGCAAGAAUAUUUGACGCGGUCUGCUAGCCCUGGACACUAAUACCCAAGAAAGAGUGAGACGACCAUCUGCCCAGACUGGAAGGAGCUACGAUGAGACGGUAAGGCCUAUGCGAGUGACUUGAUCUAAUAGUGUCUGUCUUCGUGCUUCUUCCAGAAGCUGUUCUAUUGUGUAAGACAACCCUCACCUGGGAGGAGCUGCUGUCAGACCAAUAAGUUACUAACUUUGACCUGACUUUGACCUAUGUCAUAUUCUUGUUCUAGAAGUAUCUAUCAGUUUGCGUUCUCCAGGUGUUCCUUAUCUUCCCUGGCUGGAAUUGUGGACCUACGCGUAAGUAAAUAGAAUCAUGUCUGUUCUUGUCAAAAUGUGUUAUAUUUAGGGGGUAAUUUGUUUAAUGACUUUCUGUCUCUUGCCUUUGCCAGUCGCCGCCUACCGUGGCAGUCUUUGCCAAAUUUGGCAAUUUACCAUAUAAUUCUAUGGUGAAUGUCAGCCCCAUUCCUUGUACCAGCAGGUUAGAUAGUAGCUACCUAUGCAUGACUUGUUGCAUUGCUAACUUGGGGGAGUUAUCAAUGUGGCACCAUGUGUAGAUAGCCAUAAUAACUAGUUAACCCUCAGUUAUUUCUUUUAUUUUCAUAUACUA